UUCCUACAGGGGACUUGGGAGCCCGAGGCUGGAGGAAGGAUUGCUGUGGGAGAUCAGAAGCUGUAGGGACUCACUUUGGGUAGUUGCACUAAGAAGUGGUGUGGAAGUAAAAUGGUGGGUUUACAGGACAUGGAGUAGGAGCAGAGACUCUCAUCAGUGGGAGCUGCUGGCUACAGGGAGAAAGCAAGUGAGCACAAGGGCUUUAUCAGGCCAACAGCUCUAGUCUGCACAUGAGCAGGAUUGCUGUUGUGGCCCUGCUAGCCUCCCUUCUUCCUGAGGCCCAGGUCCCCAAGGGGAUUUUGGAACACUGAAAACAGUGAGCAUGUGGUGCCUUGAUGCCCCUGAACACCUGGGCAUGAGUCUAGCAUACAGCUCACCUCACUGCCUGUUGGCGAGAGCAGCAUAUCGUUAAUGGAUGGAGCGAGACCCUGUUGACUCCAGUGCCCGAUGCUCAGUCGCUGACGUCUGUGACCUUGCAGCCGGCUGCUGCUGUUCUCAUGUGCUAUACAUGACAAUGCAGCUGGCGGCAGCAGUGGCAGCAGCACGUUAUGGCCUGACAUUCAUAGACAUUUUUUUUUUAAAUGAUGCAUGUAAAUAUUGCCAAAUUGCAGGGAACAGUGAGCUACUUGAGAUGAAUAUUUCUUCCUGCAGCUUAGACUGAGCUAUGCCAGCUCUGUCCCCUUCACCUGGCUCACUGGACCACUCAGAUAAGUAGUCCCCUUGGGACAAUCCCAGUGUUAUGGCUUUGGCUGAACCAAAGUAUCAGCCCUCUCCUCAUUUGUGUCUCAGCUGUGGCCCUGCUAGAGCUGGUUUCAAUGUGUGUUUGGAUUUCUGGCCCUGUGGAUAAAAGGCAGGAAGGACAACGUUCGUGCAGAGGGAGAAUCAGAAUCACCUGGUUCAGGAGGGCACAUCUCCUUCUCCUUCUGUGGGAGGACAUUUGGUCCAGCAUGAUUGGGGCGUAAGACAAAAAAAAGCAUCAUCUGAGCAUGGGUGCAGUCGUGGUGAUGGGAGCAGUGAUAGCGGCAGGAGGGGACUUGUCUAAGUGGCCAGGAAGGGCCCUUGCAAUCCCCCAGCAAGCGAGCACACUGCUUGAGGCUGACAGGACCCAGCAUUGGAACUUCUGCCCUGACAGCAACAUUGUGGAGCAGAGCCCAGAUGUGCCGGUGUUGACAUCAUGCUCUGCCAUAUGGGGCUCCUGGGUCCUUGGCACCCACCAGGGAAAGACCUGAUGAGCUUCUGCAAAUUAUAAGAUGAGAGAGCAAGGAAAUGAUUCACGCACAAAGCCCCAGACUCCCCCCUACAACCAUUAGUGCAGGGAGGGGCAUGUGGGCUAGAGGCAGUGUUGUGAAGGGACUGGUUCUGCUCAUGUCUGAGACUCAGAUGCCCCGUGUGGGUUUUCUCUUCCUUCUGAUGGCCCUUGUCAGCCAUGCUGUUGUUUAUGAAGGGUCUCUUUUUGCCCUGCAGCUGCUGGAGGCUCAUCAUUACCAAUUUUCUCGGUGACGAGAAGGAACCCAUGGGGCCAAUCUCAUCCUGAUGCAAGUAGACCUAGCAUACAGCACCACCUUUCAUUUUCUUCUUCACAAGUUUCAGGGUUCCCAAGAAACCUUUUUUUUUUCUUUUUCCCUGGUGCAAAAGCGGUGUCUUGUCUUGCAAUCUUUGUGCUAAAAAGGUGUGAGAGAAACAGAGAGGGACCCCUGGCAGGGAACCGUGGAUAAAGAUGAGCGGCAGGAGCAGGAAGGCUCGCUUGGUAAAGAAUGCCUUUCUCAUCUUCCUUUGUUCGGUUUCUUCCUAAUGCUCUUCUUCUCUCAUUAAUGGUAGUGUAUUUUUUUUUCCUUGUUCAAAUAAAGCAGUCAGAACAGAUGUGCACACGCAGUCACAGGCUCACAGGAGCACACAUCCAGCCAGACAUACACACGUGUGCACACAUUCACACGUGCACAGAGCGCUGCCCCUCGCUUCCCUGUCCCUGCUGCCUGCUGAUUAAACUGCAGUACAACUAAAUCGUAAAUUUCAGCCAAAGAGUUUUAUUUUUCUCUUCACAGUCAAGAAAAUUACCCAGACGAAGGAGCCCGGCCCACUCUGAGCCGCUUUUCUGCUGCUCCCUCUGUCUCCUUUAAUCACACAGUGGUUGCAAAAGAAAAAUUACCCAGUUCACAAAGCGCUGAAGAUUAAAAAGUCAGUGCGGAUAAUAAACCGUGUGGCAGGGGAAGGAUCCAGUCAGCAUUGGCUAACCUGGAUAACGAGGCAUCGUUAGCAGCUCAAGCACUGGCACCAAAAAAGCAGUUUCCAGCUCAGAGGACUGUUUUAUUGUCUCGAGGGUGAAGGUGCUCUCGAGCUGUGAAUGGUGGAGAAUGGAAUUGGACGUGUACCUGCCAUGUCCCCUGAGAAAGACUGGCAGACAUCGGCCAGAAGAAAAUCACAUGGAUGGAGAAGACCCUGGAGGAAUACUAGACAGUUCCAAUCAAUUAUUGGAAGUUUGUAGCAAGUGCUGCUGGGAAAACUUGUAGGUGGGUAAAACUAUAUCAUCUAGCAGGAAACAGCAAGAACUUUGUCCACAUGAGACCUGGGAAUAUUUCAAAGGCAAAUUGCAUCUUGUAAAAUUAAUUUGGCACAUAUAGCUCUUUUGUAAGCCAGAUAGAUUUGUUUCAUAGU